CAACACACUGAGGGCAAUGUGGGCACAAAGUCAGAAGAAAAAUUGAUUGAAUUAAUACCAUUAAUAAUUUCAUGCAGUAGAGAAAAACAUAUUUGGAAACAUAUUUACGUAUUUUUAACACCUGGAUUAAAAUGGCACUCUGCGGGUGUGGUGAGACCCACCCUCACUGUCCUCCCUCCAUCCAAAGAGGAAGACAAACAGAGUA